CCAGUUGAUUGUUGUUUCCAAGUAAGCUUAAUCAUCUUUAUGCAGUUGAUUCAUAUUUACUUUUAAAAUUAACAAUUCAUUGUAUGCUCACUGUGUUCCGGUCACUUAACAUAUUGGGAACAACUAGCUAUUGACUUCCAAAGUAAAUAAAUAGUAAAGAAGAAGAAGGAGGAGAAAGGGUGUUAUCUUUAAAAUUUUGACAAUAGGGUAUUUCUCCCUAGAGCAGAUGAAUGAUGAACUAUGCAGCACUGUUGUCACCACAUAUUUUUAAUUCUUCUAUGCUGUAUCAAGAGAGAAUUAAUUAAAUUUCCUCACUAAAAAAGGAGUUUGUGUAUGGCCCUGCUUUUUGAACUUUUUGGUGAAAUCUCUUUUAAUAUCAUAAUGCCUGUGAUUUUUUUUUUCUUGUUUGGGAAGGUGAAGGGAAAAAAGGAGGAGGGGAGG
rnacentral:misc_RNA from 1 species